CAGUGUGGGAGUUCGUACGCCUCUGUGUCCCAAAAUAACCACCAGAUGAGGGGCAGGGAGGCAGGGCGAGGUUGGUACAGGAAGAUAUAAAUGGAUGCUAAUUGUAUGGCUCCUUCAGAUUACACUGAAACAGAUUUAAACACAAACACACGCUUUCAGUCCGUGUGUCCAUGUAUGUGUGUGUGAAAAGGAAGCUGCUUGUACAGGAAACUGUGAGAUGAGUCUUCUCAUUCACAUUCUGAUGGAUGGUAGUUUUAUGGCUCUUAAAUGCUACAAACUGUUUAGAAUUGUAUGGCUCUCAAACGGCACCCAAAUCCAAACCAAAAAAAAAGAGAACUCUCAUCUAUUAUUUCUAUAAUCCCUCCAAAAAUAGAGUUCAAAAGAGGCGAGUCUCAACCGUCAUUUUCCAGAGCUGCACCAUCCUUACACCAGAAGCUGACUGUGCCUGUUUGUCUAAGCUUAGAAACUCACAUUAGUUCUGUUUGGAUUCACUGAAUUAGAAGAAUCUGCAUCACAUCGCCUCGAAUCCCAUCACAGUUUGCACAGAAAUAGUUUGCUCCUCCUACUCAAGUGUCACUUGCGGACUUUGCAAAAUACACUAAUUUUGUUUCUAAUCUCACAAGAGGCUCUUCAUGCAAGAGAGGCGAGAGAGAAGGAUGAUACAGAGGAGGAAUAGAGGCAGCUCGAGAUAUAAAUGGUAGAUAAUUACAUGGUCGACUCUCCUGCAUUGAUGUGAGGAAAGUGCAAGAGAGCAAAGUAGAGACGCCAUCAGUGGAGGAUACACAGAGUCACACACACACCCACAAUAAGAGACAAGACUUUUUUAUAUAAGCAGCUUUUGAGGAAAUGAGAAACGCAGUAUUUUUCCGUUGAUGUAGAUUUCAUAAUGUCAUCUUCGUGGGAAACCCCAAUCCUGACAUUACCAAACAUCCACACGUUGCUAAACAUUACAGAAAUCAGGAAACUAAACAUGGAAUUUUUCCUUUUUUUCCACAGAAACGCACACAACCUGUGACAGAAGAUGAAGCAGUGUGUGACAGAAGAGGAACGCAGCUCAGCAAACAUCAGAGAAGAUCAGUUUGUGGUCCUGCCUCUCCACCUGCUGCUCACACAAGGCAUGACAACAGACGGAGCCGUUUCAAUCCUCUCCUCGUCUUACAGGUCUCAGGGAGGAGGAAGACAAGACUCAACACAGCGCUGAUGCCCUUCCUUCUCCUUCUUGGAUAUCCAACAACGACUUACCACAAAUAUAAAUCAAUUAAAAUGACUUUACAGGAUGAUUGUUUCGUCAUGUUCGCCUCAAUGUUAUUGUGCCGUCUGCAAAUCCCUUUCAGAGAGAAAAGAAGAGUCUUUAGGAAGAAUGACAGCAGGCAACCUAACAUGGCCCAAGACCAAACAGGUAUUUCCAUAUUUCUGGUGUGUCUGUCUGCCUGUACAGUAUGUUUGUCUAUUUAUCUGAGUUUUGUUAAUUAUCUUCCAAGAAUUGAUAAUGAAAUUCA
rnacentral:lncRNA from 1 species